rnacentral:rRNA from 1 species
UACGGGGGGGGCAAGCGUUGUUCGGAAUUACUGGGCGUAAAGGGCUCGUAGGCGGCCAACUAAGUCAGACGUGAAAUCCCUCGGCUUAACCGGGGAACUGCAUCUGAUACUGGAUGGCUUGAGUUCGGGAGAGGCAUGCGGAAUUCCAGGUGUAGCGGUGAAAUGCGUAGAUAUCUGGAGGAACACCGGUGGCGAAGGCGGCAUCCUGGACCGACACUGACGCUGAGGAGCGAAAGCCAGGGGAGCAAACGGG